AUUGAGAGCUAAAAAUUCUGAGAAAAAUAGAAAAAAUAGCUACAAUCUUUUACUGUUUCAUUGAUUUUAUUUUUCUCUCAAUCUCGAAUUGGCAAAGACAACUUGGUAUUAAUUGAGAGUUUGAAAUGGCUUAUACUUAUUUCCUUUUGAAAGUCUGGCCUGAAUUCUGCAAAUAGAAUUACUGUUUCAUUUGUGUCUUGGCUGAUUUCGUCGGGUAUUUGGUUAAAUCUAGGAUUGCUCUUUGUUGCAAUUGGGUUCUAGUGUUCUUGGCUUAUUACUGCUGCUGUUUCUUAACCUUAAAUUUUUCUUUGUUCCUUUGCUAAAAUCAGGUACAGCUUUUCGGACCUUUUGUUAGUGUGAUGGAUUUGAAUUUGGAGAUCUUUUGAAGAUGUAGUUCUUGAUUUAGUUGAAUACAUAUGCAUCAGUUGUACUUCAGUGUAUCUUUUUUCUCUGAAUUACUGAUAUCAUGACUAUUUGAAUA
rnacentral:lncRNA from 1 species